rnacentral:lncRNA from 1 species
AGCAGGCAAGUUGAUGGGUUAUGACAACGCCAUUUUUGCACUUGCUCCCUACGGUCCGUACUGGCGUGAUAUUCGCAAAAUAGCCACCACAGAGCUUCUCUCAAGUCACCGGCUUGAAUUGCUGAAGCACGUUCGCUACUCAGAAGUUGACACUUUCAUCAAAGAUUUGUACUCACUUUGCUCAGAAAACGCAUUCAAUCCUGCGAAGGUGGUGAUCAGCAAGUUAAUCGAGCAGUUGACUUUCAAUAUAAGCCUGAAACUGAUAGCUGGGAAGCGAUUUUCAGCUAAAGAUUAUGAGGAACAAGGCAGCGAGGCUUGGCGUAUCAAUAGAGCAAUAAAAGAAGCAACGCACCUAUUCGGGGUUUUCAUCUUGGGAGAUGCCAUACCAUGGCUUGAAUGGAUUGACUUUCAGGGUCAUGUGGGAUCUAUGAAGAGUACUGCUAAGGAAAUUGACGAUGUGAUCGGCAACUGGCUUAAAGAACGUCUUCAAAAUAAAUUACAGGGCGAAGGCCAUAAUGGUAAAGGUGACCUCAUAGACGUGUUGCUUUCAAAACUGCAAGAAGAUGCUGUGAUGGGCGGACAUACACGUGAUACUGUCGUCAAAGCAACAGCUCUAGUAAGUUUGACUUAAUAAUUUUCUCUGCUUGUCAGCAACAAUAACUGAAUCCGUAUACAUAUUUGCAGAUUUUAAUCCUUACAGGCUCAGAAAGCACGUAUCUUGGAAUAAUUUGGACAAUGUCCCUGUUGUUGAACCACCCGAAAGAGCUGAAGAAGGCACAGGAAGAGUUGGACGUCCAUGUUGGAAGAGAUAGAUGGGUAAACGAGUCAGAUAUGAAGAAACUAAAAUACCUUCGAGCCAUUGUCAAAGAAACUCUACGGAUUUACCCACCGGGUCCUGUAACAGGAAUUCGGGAAGCCAUGGAAGAUUGUGAAAUUGGUGGUUAUCAUGUCCCGAAAGGCACGCGUUUGAUCGUGAACAUAUGGAAGCUGCACAGAGACCCUCGGAUGUGGGAAAAUCCGUGCGAGUUCAGACCAGAAAGGUUUCUGACAACUCAUGCUGAUGUUGAUGUCAACACUCAACAUUUUGAGUAUGUUCCGUUCAGCUUCGGAAGAAGAUCGUGCCCUGGAAUGACAUCUGGCUUACAAAUUGUUCAAUUAACGCUUGCUCGGAUUCUUCAGGGGUUUGAUUUGGCAACCGUGGGGGGCACACCUGUUGAUAUGCAGAUUGGUUUGGGCCUUGCCUUGCCCAAAUCGAACCCUCUUGAAGUUAUCAUAAAACCUCGCCUCGCUGAGGAUCUUUUUCGAUGCAUUUGAAGAUUUUAUCAUUUUAAACGAUCAUUUACGUGUAUUAUCAGAAAGAACUAAUGUGAAGGCGACUAAUGCGCAAUAACAUUUUUUCUAAGUGAAGGAUCUUUUUCGCUAAGAACUAAAUGAUAAUACACGUAAUUCAACAGACACGUAAUCAAAGGUCAUUUGUAGAAAGCUACAAAAGACCCAUAUCUAUAUUAAUUAUGAUUUAUCCUAAUUUAAAUAGAAAAGUUUAUUUUAAUAAGAUAUAUAUUUAGAUUAGAGGAAUACAACUCAAAUAAGCUAUGCCUAAUUAAUGAAACUCUAAAUAGAAAACCUAAUUAAAGUAGAAUACAAAUUAAUUAAGUCAUUCCUAAAUAUUAUAAAUUUCAAUCUAAUUAGAAUUUCUUCAAUUUGCUCGUCACAUUUGGUCUCUUUUUUUUUUUUUUUUUUCUAUACAUAUGGUGAAAAAUGGUAACUGUCCAUUAAUUAAUAACAUUUUUUUUUUUUUAAUAAAUCUCGUUUGAAGUAGGGGGUGGGCACCACCACCCCAUGAAACCAACGUAACCCAUUAAUUAAUAACAUUUUCUAAUAGAGUUGGACUAUUGACAUCCCUCCAAAAUCCUUUUAAAACCCCUUUCCAUUACAAUUAUAUUUAAGAAUAAAUACUCUAUUUUAUCUCACUUCAAACUUUUGUAUUUUCUCUACUAUCAAACUCGCACAUGUAAUUUUUUUUUCUCAAAUUCUCUAUAAUUUUUUCUUCAAUUACUAAGACAAUCUAUUGGUAAUAAACAAAAUACAUUCUGACAAAAUUAUCUGCCUUUUUUUAAGGCUCAUAAUAAAACUUUUUACAUCAUAAUUUUAUAGAUAUUUUAUUUAAUUAAUUGAUUUUUAUCAAGAAAUUUAUCACCCAUAAACGUUUGUUUGUGAGGAGCGAGAAAAUAAUAGAAAAUUAAAAGAUUCACAAAUUAAAUGUGUUUAUUUAGAAUAAGGGUAUUUUUGGCAUUAAUUUUAGCAUUAUUGAAAAAUGGGUUUCAUAAGAAUUUUGGAGGGGUGCCAAUAGUCCAACUCUUUUUAAUAAAUUCCAUGAUCACAAAUUAAAGACAACCACACACGGCCAAAACUCAUGUCGCUCCACCUAGAGCUGGCAAAAUUUGACACGACCUGAUUAACCAACAUGAGCACGACACGAAUAAACAUGUAUGAGUUGUCAAAUUUAACAGAUUAUUAAAUGGGUUGGAUCUUGGUUGAUACGAUUUUUUUCUGUAUUGGGUUAGGGUUAAAAUUUUUGAUCUAUUUUUUAUUCUUGAUCAAUGACAAUAUUAUAUUUUUUUAUUUAAAAUUAAUUUAUAUGUUUUUAUCAUCAAAACUCAAAUAUUGGAUGUGAUUAUCUAUUUUUUUUAAGGAUGAACAUAUAUACAAUAUUUAAUUUAUAAAAUUUUAUUUAGAUUUAGAACUCUAAUAGUAUAAAUAUGUAAAAUGUUAGUAGACAUGUAUAUUUUAUAAUAUUGAUAUAUCAUAUUAUUUACAUAUAUAUAAUUAAAACUUCAAUAGUAUAAAAUGUGUAAUAUUUUGGUACAUAUGUAUAAUUUAUAAUAUCAAUAAAUUUUUGUGUGCCCAAUAACUCUCUUAAUAUUUAUAUGUUUAAUAUUAAACAUAUAAAUAUUAAGAGAGUUAUUGGGUAACUUAUUUAUUUUCUAUACCGAAUUUGAAUCUUAAUAUUUUGACACGAUUAUUAAAUAAGUCAUAUUUGACAUGAUUAUUAAAUUUAAUACGAUACAAAACUGAUACGACACAAACAUGACUCGAUCAUCCAAUUUAACAGCCGGGGCUUCACCAGCCACUACCAGAAGAUCCAUACUUGAAAUGAUCCUUCAAUUUCAUCAAUUUUCAGUUCGCAGGAUAGAUCCAUGGCCCCACCAAAAUGUCGCCUGCCACAUGUUCACAAUCAUAGCCAUUUCUCACUUUCAUACUCGAUAGUGAUACGGGUUUUAACUUGGUCUGUAUCUAUUUAAUAGUUUUGAGUAAUUACACCGUACGACCUUUGGCUUUAAAGUGUAAACAAAACCAGCAUCAAAAUAUAAUUGCAAAAAAAUCAAUGUUAUUUUUGAAAAUUUUAUAUUAGAAUAAAUCAAUUAAAUCUCUCUCUUUAUUUUCUUUUCUUUUCAAUUUAAGGUCUAUUGAUGAUUGAAUUUGAUCACUAAAAUUGUUUUAAUAUAAAAAUAAGGUUAGUUGAACUCACUUAAAUACUUAAUAUACUCACUUUUUAAUAAAAAAAAAUUAUUACUAAAUUACUUGUUGUGUAAUUUACUCUUAAGUACAACACAGUAAAGUUAAAUAAAAUAUUUUCAUCUUGCAUCCAUUAUAUAGAUAUAAUUAUCAUAAUACAUUUUUUCCAUCCAACAUUAAUUAUCGACACUUUUUUUCCCAUGCGAAUGGACCUUGAUUACGUGUCUUUUUUGCUAAGAACUAAACAAUCAUUAAAUGUUCAUUUACAUAAUUCAAUUUCUCAAAAGGUUAUUGCUAUUCAUGUAAAUGAUCGUUUAAAAUGAUAAUACACGACUAAUGCGACUAAUGUGCACAUUAGUGGGUUAUCACAAACAAACUCAAUUUUUUUUCUAAGUGAAGGCCACUAAUGUGCAAUUAUAACUCUUGAAGUAUUUUUCAAUUUUGAUUUUCCAUGCCAGCUGAGUUUGUCUUAUUUAGCUAUUGUAUUUGAGUUUUUUUUUUUUUCUUUUUUUUGGGUUAUCUUAGUUUGUUUGCCUUAUUUAAUUAAUUUCAAAAUAGCCUACUAUAAAUGGAAUUGAAUUUUCAAACCUUAUAUAAGAUGGUAAUUCAGUUUUUUUUUUUUUUUUUGAAUUUUACUUUUUAAGAGUAGUGCUAUUUUGAACAAAGAGCAUAUUAAGUGAUCACAGUUUAGUUUAUACAGUAGGAAAGAAAUAACCGAAGGAAGAAAAAGCAAGAAAAAUCUUAAAGAGUAUUCCAGUUUAGUAGUCACCCACUCUUUAUUUGUUAACUUUUAUUUUUAAUAGAAAUAAUGUUGAUCUAAUUUCAACAAAUUCAGUAAACUCCUAGAAGUGCAAUAAUUAUGAGAUUUAGCUCGUUAAACAUGUUAAAACAGCAUAACAUCACAUUUUAUUCUAUUUUCUCUACUCUGCCGAACCAUGAGAUAAUCUAUUCAUUGCAAGUAGACCAACAAACCUUCAAGACCACAAAUUCCGAAGCAUAAUAAAAUUAAUUUGGCCACAAAAAAAUAAAAUCCUCUAACCUAAACCAACGAAGUAUGGACAUACAGCAGAUCUUUCAACAGCUGCCUUGGAAGAAAACAAAUCGUUUUUUACCACAGAAAUGAUUUCAUCUGCGCAACAGCCAUAGCCUAAGAUUUUUUUUUGAAAAAUUAUGGACCGGUCACUUAUUUUUUUUAAAUUUUUUUUUACUGGAAUCUAUAUUAAGUUAUAUAUAUUUUUACUUAUCCACUUCUAUUUGGAGAUCGUUUUGAAAACUAACGGAAUAUUGUAUAAAUAAUUUUUUUACUCUUAAAUAUAAAAGAUAAAUUAUCUACCGACCACUUUUUUUUUUCGUAUUUUUUCAAAAAUGCACUAUUCUUAAUUUUUUUUUUUUACUAAACUCCACUUGAAGUUAUAUUGUUUUGCACCUAUCCACUACUGUAUCAUUGUGAAAUGAUAAUUUUACCCUUAUGAUGUCAGUAAAUUUCUAACGGUGUUAUAACGAGAGUGGACCAAUGAAAAAAAUAUUAACUUUAGGUGGAGCACUGUAAAAAAAAAAAUUAUGUAUUUUUAAAAAACGGUAAAAAAAACAAGUGAACAGUGAAUAAUUUCCCUAUUUUUUUUAAGCAAUCACUAUCUUAGAGCUGCUUUAAAAUAUAACACAAAUCACAACCAUACACAUGUAAAGUGAUAAAUAAUAAAAAAUAAAUUAUAAAUUUAAUCACGUGGAUUUUAAUGCGUUUUCUAUCUUAGAGCAGUUUCAACGUAACCAAAUUCUUUUUUUUUAAUAUGCUUCACGAAAUCUCCACCUCACAAAUAAAAUAAGGAAAUAUGUAAAGUAUUAUUUGACUGACGCCUACCUAAUAACUCAAAAUCUAUUAUAAAUAGUAGUGCAAGUCAUAUGUAGCUUCGCCACAACACUCUCCCUAAACCACCAUGGAUUUUAUUUCUUUCAAGCUACCAAUUUUGGAGCUCUUAGCUUUGCUGAUUCUUUAUUUCUUAUGGGGAAUCGUAGCAAAAUCCAAAAACAAAAGCAAGAAAAAUACAGCCCCCGAACCAUUUGGGGCAUGGCCACUCAUCGGCCAUUUGCCUCUUCUGAUUGCCGAAGAACCUGUUUGCAAAAUACUCGGAGCCAUUGCUGACAAAUAUGGCCCCAUCUACUCCCUCAGGCUCGGCAAGCAUCCAACGUUGAUUGUGAGCAGUUGGGAAAUUGUGAAGGAUUGCUUCACUACCAAUGACAGAGUUUUGGCCACAAGGCCAAGUAUAGCAGCAGGCAAGUACUUGGGUUACGACAACGCCGUUUUUGCGCUUGCUCCCUACGGCCGGUACUGGCGUGAUAUUCGCAAAAUAGCCACCACAGAUCUGCUCUCCAGUCACCGGCUUGAAUUGCUAAAGCACGUUCGCUACUCAGAAGUUGACACUUUCAUCAAAGACUUGUACUCACGUUGCUCAGAAAACGCAUUCAAUCCUGCGAAGGUGGUGAUCAGCAAGUUAAUAGAACAACUGACUUUCAAUAUAAGCCUACGACUGAUAGCCGGAAAGAGAUUUUCAGCUAGAGAAUUUGGUGAACAAGGCAGCGAGGGAUGGCGUAUCAAUAGAGCCAUAAAAGAAGCUACGUAUCUGACAGGGGUUUUUGUUUUGGGAGAUGCCAUACCGUGGCUUGAAUGGAUUGAUUUUCAGGGUCACAUAGGCUCUAUGCGGAGGACUGCAAAGAAAAUUGACGACGUGAUCGGCAACUGGCUUGAAGAACAUGCCCAGAGAAAAUUACAGGGUGAAGGUGACUUCAUGGACGUGUUGCUAUCGAAAAUUGAAGACAAUACUGUGAUGAGUGGUCAUACAAGGGAUACUGUCAUCAAGGCAACAGCUCUUGUAAGUUUGAUUGUAUAAUUUUCUGUUUUCUAUAAUGAUAAUUAUUCAAUGGUAAACAAUUGAGACGGAAACUCAUACAACUAAUCAAAAUUAUUCUGUAGAUUCUAAUAUUUACAGGCUCAGAAAGCACAUAUCUCGGAAUAAUUUGGACACUGUCUUUGUUACUCAAUCACCCGAAAGAGCUAAAGAAGGCACAGGAAGAGUUGGACGUCCAUGUUGGAAGAGAUAGAUGGGUAAACGAGUCAGAUAUGAAGAACCUAAAAUACCUUCGAGCCAUUGUCAAAGAAACUCUGCGGAUUUACCCACCGGGUCCUGUAACAGGAAUUCGGGAAGCCAUGGAAGAUUGUGAAAUUGGUGGCUAUCAUGUCCCGAAAGGCACGCGUUUGAUCGUGAACGUAUGGAAGCUGCACAGAGACCCUCGGAUGUGGGAAAAUCCGUGCGAGUUCAGACCAGAAAGGUUUCUGACAACUCAUGCUGAUGUUGAUGUCAACACUCAACAUUUUGAGUAUAUUCCGUUCAGCUUCGGAAGAAGAUCGUGCCCUGGAAUGACAUCUGGCUUGCAGAUUGUUCAAUUAACGCUUGCUCGGAUUCUUCAGGGGUUUGAUUUGGCAACCGUGGGGGGUAUACCCGUUGACAUGAAGGAAGGCUUGGGCAUUGCCUUGCCUAAACUGAACCCUGUUGAAGUUGUCAUCAAACCGCGCCUUUCUGAUGAUCUUUAUCAACGCCUCUGAAGUUUUUUUAUGUUUGAAAAUGUAUGAAGCUGCUUGACUAAUGUCAAGUUGUGCCCUGAGUGCCUGGAGUUUGUGACGGAUGUACGUAUCUCAGUCUAAAGACAAUAAAAUAUAAUAAAACUUUUUAAAAAUAUAUAUAUAAUAUGGACUCGAUCCAUGUGAAAGAAUGGAAAUCCGAUUCAUAUGUGAUUUAUGUUCAAUAGGUGGAAACGAUUAAGAAUUCCCUUCCCCCCCCGCCAUUCUUUUGGAUAGCAUACUAAAUGACUUUAUGUCUAUGAAUCAGUUUUUUUUUUCGGUGUAUUAAACUAUCUGCUAUCCCAACUAAUCUAAAUUCGAGUUAGGUAGGAUCACUAAGGAAGCAAAGCUGUAUCCCAUACUAAUCUAGAUUCGAGCCGGGAACGCAGCUGCUUUUCUAAGUCUAAUACUGAAGACCUUAGUUAAGAUAUAACAGUCUCAUACCAAAUGAUCUACGCGCUUGUUAGUUAUGAAUCAAUUACUUUAUUAUAAGAAGUUAGAUAGAAAAAAGUUCAGACUAAAUAAGAAAUAAUAUAAUUAAUUAAUAUAAAUAUAUAUAUUAUGAUAUAUGUAAUUAAAUUUUAUAUAACUAUUAAUUACAUGAUUGCUCUUCAAAAUAAAUGUAUAUAUAUUAUAAUAAUAAAUGUAUAAAUGUAUAUAUAUAUUAUAUAUAUUAUAAUAGUAUUUGCAUUAAUGUAUGACUACCAUCUCAAAAUAUUCAAAAAUUUCUCAAAGUUCUACUAUUGUGUGGCUGCAACGCUUGUUGACUUGUUGACUACUUGUUUUAAUGAAAUUUCUAAUUGCUUGAAAUAAAGGAGGAUCCAGAUACAUUACAACAACCGCAAAGGUACCAUAACUUUGUCCUCUUCGGAUCAAACGCUUUGCAACAUAGUUUUUUUUACAAGAAAUCAUGUUGUGAUCUCACGAGGUCUCGUGUCGUUUUCAAGAGGACUUGUCAAUGUGAACCAAAGUCAGCCGUCAAGAAUGAAAUCACACAAAAUGUCAAAACAGACGAUGACUUUAAGGCCACUGGGACAGUGUAACUUUUCAAAACAUGUGAACCACGCAACGGUAGUAUGGUUAACUUUCGUCCGCAUGAUAGAAACUAGGGCUGGCACAAUACGGUUCGGUUCGGUUCGGUUCGGUUUAGAAAAAAAUUGAACCGAAUUGAAACCAACCGGUUCUCCCAAAUCGGAAUCGAAAGCAACCCGAAAUUCAGAACCAAACCGAAUCGAACCGAAUCGAACCGAACCGAAAAUUUUCGGCUCGAUUCGGUUUGGUUCUGAAUUUCGGUUCGGUUCAGAUUAUUUCGGUUCUUUUCGGUUUCAACUCUAUAAUUUUCUCACGUAAGAAACUCCCACAGUGUUAACAUUACAUUCAAUAUAAUAAAAUUCAGCAAAAUAAUAAUGCCCCAACACAUUAUAAAUCGACAAAAACAAAAAAUAAUAACAAACCAAAAAUCUCAUGGGUUUCAAAAUCACCAUUUUCCCACAACCAAACAAGGCCUGCACACGAGAUUUCCGUAUCAACAUUUUUAGUAACCAAACAAGGCCAUCAAAAUCCCCAUUUUUCCAACCAAACGAGGCCAACACAUGGGUGUCAAAGCUAGCAAUCGGCAACAACACAAGGCGGAUGUACGGUACAGCAGCUCAGAAGUUGACACUUUCAUCAAAGACUUGUACUCACGUUGCUCAGAAAACGCAUUCAAUCCUGCGAAGGUGGUGAUCAGCAAGUUAAUAGAACAACUGACUUUCAAUAUAAGCCUACGACUGAUAGCCGGAAAGAGAUUUUCAGCUAGAGAAUUUGGUGAACAAGGCAGCGAGGGAUGGCGUAUCAAUAGAGCCAUAAAAGAAGCUACGUAUCUGACAGGGGUUUUUGUUUUGGGAGAUGCCAUACCGUGGCUUGAAUGGAUUGAUUUUCAGGGUCACAUAGGCUCUAUGCGGAGGACUGCAAAGAAAAUUGACGACGUGAUCGGCAACUGGCUUGAAGAACAUGCCCAGAGAAAAUUACAGGGUGAAGGUGACUUCAUGGACGUGUUGCUAUCGAAAAUUGAAGACAAUACUGUGAUGAGUGGUCAUACAAGGGAUACUGUCAUCAAGGCAACAGCUCUUGUAAGUUUGAUUGUAUAAUUUUCUGUUUUCUAUAAUGAUAAUUAUUCAAUGGUAAACAAUUGAGACGGAAACUCAUACAACUAAUCAAAAUUAUUCUGUAGAUUCUAAUAUUUACAGGCUCAGAAAGCACAUAUCUCGGAAUAAUUUGGACACUGUCUUUGUUACUCAAUCACCCGAAAGAGCUAAAGAAGGCACAGGAAGAGUUGGACGUCCAUGUUGGAAGAGAUAGAUGGGUAAACGAGUCAGAUAUGAAGAACCUAAAAUACCUUCGAGCCAUUGUCAAAGAAACUCUGCGGAUUUACCCACCGGGUCCUGUAACAGGAAUUCGGGAAGCCAUGGAAGAUUGUGAAAUUGGUGGUUAUCAUGUCCCGAAAGGCACGCGUUUGAUCGUGAACGUAUGGAAGCUGCACAGAGACC